AGGUAGGUACUGGAAAGUGCAGCAGGCGGAGAGCAGGAUCCCAAAACCACCGCCAUGUUUCUCACCUGGCUUCCGGGUAUGGCUAAAGUGAAGACCACCAUGUGUGAGAGCAGCAGUGGAAACAGUGUCAGAAGGAGAUAGCCAGGUUUUGGUAAUCGCUAAAAGGGUGAAAGCAUUUGAUAUCAACAGGUCAUGAAUGGUUGUGAGUUUGUUGCAGACAGAACGAGAGUUCCAUAGUGCGCUGGUUAAAGGAGUGUGUGCGUAUGGGAUGCAUUGGAUGGAAAUAAGGUUAUGUGUGUUGCUUUUAUUAAAGUUUCCAUAAGGAGUGCGUGAUUGGGUAAUGGUGGGAAUGAGGGUGGACCCAGGAUUUGGAGAGAUAUCGCCUGAUGCUAAUAGCAGCAAGAUGGAAAGUAAGAGUAGGUGAGAAUGAGAUUUAUAGCAGUGGGGGCAUUUCUGUGAGGUGGUGCAGUUUAGUGACAUAGAUUUUAAAAUAGAAAGUAGUUCAUGAGAGCUAAGGUAAGGAGAGGAAAGGAGAGAGGGGCCAAUAUGAACUGCUUGUGGAGAAGGGUAAAGUAUGAGCAUGUGAGCUAAGGUAAGGAGAGGAAAGGAGAGAGGGGCCGAUAUAAACUGCAUGUGGAGAAGGAUAAGGUAUGAGCAUGUGAGCUAAGGUAAGGAGAGAGGGGCCGAUAUAAACUGCAUGUGAGAAGGGUAAGGUAUGAGCAUGUGAGCUAAGGUAAGGAGAGAGGGGCCGAUAUAAACUGCAUGUGAGAAGGGUAAGGUAUGAGCAUGUGAGCUAAGGUAAGGAGAGAGGGGCCGAUAUAAACUGCAUGUGAGAAGGGUAAGGUAUGAGCAUGUGAGCUAAGGUAAGGAGAGAGGGGCCGAUAUAAACUGCAUGUGAGAAGGGUAAGGUAUGAGCAUGUGAGCUAAGGUAAGGAGAGUGGGGCCGAUAUAAACUGCAUGUGAGAAGGGUAAGGUAUGAGCAUGUGAGCUAAGGUAAGGAGAGAGGGGCCGAUAUAAACUGCAUGUGAGAAGGGUAAGGUAUGAGCAUGUGAGCUAAGGUAAGGAGAGGAGAGAGGGGCCGAUAUAAACUGCAUGAGGAGAAGGGUAAGGUAUGAGCAUGUGAGCUAAGGUAAGGAGAGAGGGGCCGAUAUAAACUGCAUGUGAGAAGGGUAAGGUAUGAGCAUGUGAGCUAAGGUAAGGAGAGAGGGGCCGAUAUAAACUGCAUGUGAGAAGGGUAAGGUAUGAGCAUGUGAGCUAAGGUAAGGAGAGAGGGGCCGAUAUAAGCUGCAUGUGAGAAGGGUAAGGUAUGAGCAUGUGAGCUAAGGUAAGGAGAGAGGGGCCGAUAUAAACUGCAUGUGAGAAGGGUUAGGUAUGAGCAUGUGAGCUAAGGUAAGGUGAGAGGGGCCGAUAUAAACUGCUUGUGGAGAAGGGUAAGGUAUGAGCAUGUGAGCUAAGGUAAGGAGAGAGGGGCCGAUAUAAACUGCUUGUGGAGAAGGGUAAGGUAUGAGCAUGUGAGCUAAGGUAAGGAGAGUAGAGAGGGGCCAAUAUAAACUGCUUGUGGAGAAGGGUAAGGUAUGAGCAUGUGUGCUAAGGUAAGGAGAGAGGGGCCGAUAUAAACUGUGUGUGGAGAAGGGUAAGGUAUGAGCAUGUGAGCUAAGGUAAGGAGAGUAGAGAGGGGCCAAUAUAAACUGCUUGUGGAUAAGGGGUAAAGUAUGAGCAUGUGAGCUAAGGUAAGGAGAGUAGAGAGGGGCCGAUAUAAACUGCUUGUGGAGAAGGGUAAGGUAUGAGCAUGUGAGCUAAGGUAAGGAGAGAGGGGCCGAUAUAAACUGCAUGUGGAGAAGGGUAAGGUGUGAGCAUGUGAGCUAAGGUAAGGAGAGGAAAGGAGAGAGGGGCCGAUAUAAACUGCUUGUGGAUAAGGGAUAAAGUAUGAGCAUGUGAGCUAAGGUAAGGAGAGAGGGGCCGAUAUAAACUGCUUGUGGAGAAGGGUAAGGUAUGAGCAUGUGAGCUAAGGUAAGGAGAGAGGGGCCGAUAUAAACUGCUUGUGGAGAAGUGUAAGGUAUGAGCAUGUGAGCUAAGGUAAGGAGAGAGGGGCCGAUAUAAACUGCAUGUGGAGAAGGGUAAGGUAUGAGCAUGUGAGCUAAGGUAAGGAGAGAGGGGCCGAUAUAAACUGCAUGUGGAGAAGGGUAAGCUAUGAGCAUGUGAGCUAAGGUAAGGAGAGAGGGGCCGAUAUAAACUGUGUGUGAGAAGGGUAAGGUAUGAGCAUGUGAGCUAAGGUAAACAGAGGAGAGAGGGGCCGAUAUAAACUGCUUGUGGAGAAGGGUAAGGUAUGAGCAUGUGAGCUAAAGUAAGGAGAGAGGGGCCGAUAUAAACUGCUUGUGGAGAAGGGUAAGGUAUGAGCAUGUGACCUAAGGUAAGGAGAGAGGGGCCGAUAUAAACUGCUUGUGGAGAAGGGUAAGGUAUGAGCAUGUGAGCUAAGGUAAGGAGAGAGGGGCCGAUAUAAACUGCUUGUGGAGAAGGGUAAGGUAUGAGCAUGUGUGCUAAGGUAAGGAGAGAGGGGCCGAUAUAAACUGCUUGUGGAGAAGGGUAAGGUAUGAGCAUGUGAGCUAAGGUAAGGAGAGGAGAGAGGGGCCGAUAUAAACUGCUUGUGGAGAAGGGUAAGGUAUGAGCAUGUGAGCUAAGGUAAGGAGAGGAGAGAGGGGCCGAUAUAAACUGCAUGUGAGAAGGGUAAGGUAUGAGCAUGUGAGCUAAGGUAAGGAGAGAGGGGCCGAUAUAAACUGCAUGAGGAGAAGGGUAAGGUAUGAGCAUGUGAGCUAAGGUAAGGAGAGAGGGGCCGAUAUAAACUGCAUGAGGAGAAGGGUAAGGUAUGAGCAUGUGAGCUAAGGUAAGGAGAGAGGGGCCGAUAUAAACUGCAUGUGAGAAGGGUAAGGUAUGAGCAUGUGAGCUAAGGUAAGGAGAGAGGGGCUGAUAUAAGCUGCAUGUGAGAAGGGUAAGGUAUGAGCAUGUGAGCUAAGGUAAGGAGAGAGGGGCCGAUAUAAACUGCAUGUGAGAAGGGUAAGGUAUGAGCAUGUGAGCUAAGGUAAGGAGAGAGGGGCCGAUAUAAACUGCUUGUGGAGAAGGGUAAGGUAUGAGCAUGUGAGCUAAGGUAAGGAGAGAGGGGCCGAUAUAAACUGCUUGUGGAGAAGGGUAAGGUAUGAGCAUGUGAGCUAAGGUAAGGAGAGAGGGGCCGAUAUAAACUGCAUGUGAGAAGGGUAAGGUAUGAGCAUGUGAGCUAAGGUAAGGAGAGAGGGGCCGAUAUAAACUGCAUGUGAGAAGGGUAAGGUAUGAGCAUGUGAGC